GCGGAUAUGGUCAAAUGGUAAAAUUU
rnacentral:tRNA from 3 species